AAGUCGUAACAAGGUCUCCGUAGGUGAACCUGCGGAGGGAUCAUUACCGAGUUCAUGCCCUUCGGGGUAGACCUCCCACCCGUGUAUUCCUACUCUUGUUGCUUCGGCAGGCCGCUCGGCUUCGGCCAGGCUGUUGGCUCCGGCUAGCACGCGCCUGCCAGAGGAUCUCAAACUCUGAAUGUUAGUGUCGUCUGAGUACUAUAUAAUAGUUAAAA
rnacentral:misc_RNA from 1 species